rnacentral:rRNA from 1 species
AUUGAACGCUGGCGGCAUGCCUUACACAUGCAAGUCGAACGGCAGCACGGGUGCUUGCACCUGGUGGCGAGUGGCGAACGGGCGAGUAAUACAUCGGAAAGUACCUUAUAGAGGGGGAUAACCAACCGAAAGGUUGGCUAAUGCCGCAUACGACCUGAGGGUGAAAGGGGGGGAUAGCAAGACCUCCCGCAAUUGGAUGAGCCGAAGUCGGAUUAGCUAGUUGGUAGGGUAACGGCCUACCAAGGCGACAAUCCGUAGCUGGUCUGAGAGGACGACCAGCCACACUGGGACUGAGACACGGCCCAGACUCCUACGGGAGGCAGCAGUGGGGAAUAUUGGACAAUGGGGGCAACCCUGACCCAGCGACGCCGCGUGUGUGAAGAAGGCCUGCGGGUUGUAAAGCAUUUUUAGUGGGGAUGAAAAGCUCAGGGCUAAUACGCUUGAGUCUUGACCUAACCCAAAGAAAAAGCACCGGCUAACUCUGUGCCAGCCGCCGCCGUAA